rnacentral:misc_RNA from 1 species
GAUGAAGAACGUAGUGAAAUGCGAUAAGUAGUGUGAAUUGCAGAAUUCAGUGAAUCAUCGAAUCUUUGAACGCACAUUGCGCCCACUGGUAUUCCGGUGGGCAUGCCUGUUCGAGCGUCAUUAUCCUCCCUCAAACCUCGGGUUUGGUGUUGGACCCAAGUUGUGUGAACAACUGGUCUUAAAGACAAUGACGGCGUCCGUGGGACCCUCGGUGCAACGAGCUUUUAGGAGCACGCGUCGAGUUUCAAGGACCUUCCGGGCCGGUCUCCUUUACCAUUUUACAAGGUUGACCUCGGAUCAGGUAGGAAUACCCGCUGAACUUAAGCAUAUCAAUAAGCGGAGGA